UGCAGGAGAGAAACACAGACAGCACCUGCAGGGGAGAAAUAGAGUCAGCAUCAAUCCCACCACUGAAAAUAACUCAAGAAUAAGUUAUUUUCUGGGGUUGGUAUUUCUUAGGGCAUCUAAAUGCAUCCCAGCUCCUCCAGAAGAAAAUUUAGAGGCCAGUAACAUUACAGGAGGUUACACUGAUGAUUGCAAUUUAAUUUUUAAAAAUCUUUUGUUAAAGAAACACAACAUCUAUGGAUGGACAAACCUAUUUUAGGUGACCCAAGCUACUAGCAGGAUAGGGGGUUUCAUGUGACCCCAGGCAGGAGAAGGUUUUCAGGUGAUGGAAGGGCUGCCCUCACUGAGACCUGCAAUAAUUCACAGUGCUCAGCUCUCCAGCCUCUUCGUGUGGGGUGUCCAGCAGGGACCAAACCACACCCAGGGACUUUGGGACAUGUGAUGUGUGAUGCAUGAUAAAAAAUGCAUCCAUGCAAAGAUACAAUUUAUUCAUAGGCAGAUCAGUAAUAACAGACAUAAAAGUGUUUAUAUUAUUUUAAGUAAAUAGCCUGGGCUGGAAUCCCAGGGGAGGUUGCCACCAAGUUGUCACCAUGGUUUGGACUUCUGAGACUCCAAAGUAUUUUAAGAGAACUCUGCUCUGGCACAGAACUCUCUCUCUCUGCUGGCCAUGAGCAGCCACUGCUGAUGAAGCCAUGACCAUGUCAUGGCCUAGAAACUCCCAGCAAAGGCUGGAGUAAUUUUCCAGCUUAAUUAAACUCCGUAAUGAAACAAAGUACCUAAAUCCCUCUGAGCAAAGGCUCCCGAUAGGGCCCCACCCUUGUUCCCAGCUGGAUGGAGAGCUCAGGUCCUGCAAGCAGGUCUUGUGCCCUGUCGUGGUUUGAAGGGAAGUGAGUUUUUUUGGAAGUAGUGGUCAAACCAAUUAGUCUUUAGAUCUGAAUAUUGGCACCUUUGUUGGCCACUAAGAGGUGGACACGCCUCUGAGGACACGAGGGGUUAAAAGCCGGAUUUCCCAGCAGGACUCUCUCUUUCCUGCUCUGCUUUCGGAGAGGGAGCGUCUCCUCCUCUCCCCUGCCGGCCUGGCUAGGCCGGGUGGGGGAGGGGAGCAAGGUGGGCCUGGCUUAGCAAGAGAGAAGGUGCCGAGUUGGAGCUGCUUGUGAGAGCUGCAGUGCCUGCGAUCGCCUGUGCCUGACCUUGGUGGUGGGAGAUAAAGCUUUUAACUCUUUCUAAGGCAGAAGAGAGUUAUCCCUGGACGCUGUAUUCUCAUAGUUGGUGGUUUUAGAAGAGAGAGGACAGCCUGGGACCGAGAGGGUAAUGUGAGAUGAAAAGAAGCCCCUUCGAUGGCCGGAAUGAAGAGGAGUGGCUUAUGAGGCCGGACUUUUCUUGCAUAAUGAUAGCCAUAGACGGACCCUGGACCCUCCUGACUAUAAAUAAGACUGUGUUUGGGUGGAUGUUUUUGGCUCAAACCCAGAGACGUUCUGGCCUGCUUCUUGGAGCCCCCGGCCCCAGGGGUAAAUGGGGGGGACCUGAGUCCCAAAAUGAGAAGAUGGCUGGUUUUUGGUACUUGGCCAAAACAUCCUUAAAAAGAGCCCUGUUGCAGUGCAGGUCCAUGGACGGCAGUGAGAGUGCCGGACAUGGAAAGGAGGGUGUCACCCUGGCAGACCCUUCCAGGCAGUGCCAUGGGUGACGUGGGAACACGGGAUGGUGGACCUGUGUUUCCUGUGGGGGGGGGGGGUCUGUGGUGCGAGAGAGACUCCUCUCGUCCUGGAUGGAAUGUGGAUUGUCUGAAUUUUAAAGGAUGAUGGUUUGGAUUAGGAACCCAGGGUUGUUGGGGGAUUAAGCAAGUAGAUGAAGGUAAUGUGCUGGAGACAACUGAGUGAGCAUGUAUGGAAUGGAAAUUGGGGGGAGGAGAAGCAGUGUUUUGGGAGGUUUUCUCUUCUGCUUUUGGGUGGCUGGGUUUUUCUUUCCUUUUCUAUUGUCCAUUGUUAUGUAAUAUAAUAAAUUGUCUGUCUGUUUCAAGAA